rnacentral:sRNA from 1 species
UUUUCUUUUUAGUUGAUCUGAUGCAAACAAGGGUAGAUAAGUAUCAUAUUUUCAGCUUUCAAAACCACAAACCAUUUACUGUGUCUUCUUUAUCAUUGAGACCAUGUAGCUUAUUGAUAUGAAAUUUUUAACAUCUUUCUGGAAUGACAAUCUUCUCUGUUUCUAGGCUUUGUUUAUUUGUCUCUAAAGGUUCUGGAUUCAACUUCUGAACAAGGUAGUAGUCCACAAGAAGGAUCUUUCUUACGUGAGUUUUUUGUUCCUCUUCUCUCUGUCUCUUUUCUGAUUUCAGUAUCCCAAGUGUGAUCUUAUUUUCUUGCCCUCUGUUAUAUAAUUGGUGUUAUUGAUUGAUUCUUCAUUCAUUUAUCGAUGAAGGGUUGGUUUUCAUUUGUGUUGAAUUGGAUCUUUGUUUGAGGCUUCUUUUUAUUGUUCGGAUGAUUAUGAUUUGGUCAUUUACUGGAAAUUGAGAAUUUUUCGAUUCAGUUCCAUAGAGUAAUGGUAUAGACUAUAGAGUAAAGGAAAUCGAAGAAGUUUGCUUUGUUUAAUGGAAACUGUUGGGGAAAGGAUCAUUGUCCUAUUUCGCUCCAUGGUGAGUUUAAUGGUGGAUGAUUUGCUGAAGCGUUUUAUUCGAUUCCUUUGGUUUUGUAUUUGGUUCUCAUUGAAUUCAUAUAGGACUGAUAUUGAUAAAGAUUAGUCUGAGGCUUUGAGCUAGUGCAUUUGUUUGAUUGAUGAAUGAAACUGUCAUGUUGAAUUUGUUGGUAUGAUAUUAAUUUGUCUGUGCAGGUCCCAAACCGGAGGUUGUUGAAGCUGAAUAAUGUUGUGUGCCUCAUUGAUCUCUUGAUGUAAGAAGCUGAAUAAUGUUGUGUGCAGAUUGGGACAAAGCAAUGGCGUUACUAUGACAAAACCAAACUCUCUUUUUCAAACUCUACUUUGAUUAAUAUGAGAAUGUAGCUAUUUAUUAUUUGUUACUUAACAGAGGGCAUUUUAGUUAUUUACAUAUAUAUGAGAAUGUGAAUGAUCCAUCCAAAUGAUCAAACAAACAAAGCUCCAUCUAAAUGAAUCAUUUAGAUGAAUUAGCAAAUAAUCAAACAAACAUCAUUAAGAUGAAUCAUCCAAAUGGAUUAUUUGGAUGGAUCAUUUGGAUGAUAAUUCCAAAUGAUCAAACAAACAGGACCUUAAUCUUGAAAUCUUCCAUGUAUUAAAGUUGAGUUAUUCUUACCAAUAGUUAACAACCCCAAAAUAGUGAUAGACUUUUAGUUAAAGAAAUCAAGAAAACAAUUGUUCAAUGCAUAAGUGGUUCCAUACCAGUCAUCAACACCUACAAAUACUCUUGAUUUUCUUUUAAA